AGUGAAAUUCCUCCAACAGCUUUGUGGGCCCUGGAUUGGAGCUGGAAAGAAAGACCAUGGUGAAUGCCACUUGUGAUGGUUCCAGCUGACAGUCGGACUUGGGGGCCUUUGGGAAACUGCCUUUGAAGAUCCUCAGAAAUACUUGGGAGGGUGGUGAGUUUAUGAAGGACUCACAGAGGCUACCAUAUGGAUAGGAAUAAAACCAGUUGUGUUGUUGCAAGACCAAUUAUGGGAUGAAUGAUGAAGGAACUGUGGAAAUACAGAACUAAGUAAAUCACCUUCUGCUGUCAGGUGAUUAACUGCCACAGCGAUAGAUGCCUUUGAAUGAAUACACUGACCUCCAUGCUCAGUUCCGCCUGGCUGAUGUGCAUGCAGAUUGUUCCCCUGUGGCUUGAGUAGCAUCUUCUGCUCUAGGAGACAGUGGGAAACAGGAUCUCAUUGACACAGGCCACCUCCUUUCCCAAGAGCCCUUCAUUCUGAUGACAAAGGACUCUUACCUUGCAAUAUGAACAAAGGCCAAAUGGCCUGUCUUCAUCCAGCAUCCUCAUUCAGAACUAGCCAACUGAGAUCUGUCACAUGGGGCCAUGGUAGUGGGGCCUGCCACAUCCCACCUCCCUAUAAGCUGUCACACCAGCUCUUGGCAGUGUGAGCCUGGGCUGCUGGCCACUCUGUAAAUGUAGCUACAUGAGGAAGAAAAAUAGACAUUAAACCAGAAAAGGAGGUACAAUCCCUAGGGCUGCUUUCAGGAUGACAAAGGGUCGGAAACAGCAACUCCUGAGAGCAGGAGCCAUGCCUUUGCAAACACUGGGAUGUGCACAUACCUGCCUUAAGUCCAUGCACCAACUGACCUGCAGAUUUUGUGGAGAGACCUACCACUCCUACAUCCUAGUACUCUGAGCCUCUAAACAUUGCAUUCAUGUGGUAUGUCUAUGCCUUGAAGUCCAGACCCAAGGAAAACAAACCCAAAGAGAGACGGGGGUUCCCUGCUUGAGUUUUCUGUCUAAAGACUCACUUUUCUGGAUGAUGGAACAUGGGAGCGAUUGACAUUGGAAAAGAUUUCUUACUUCCAGGCAAGCCCCAUCUUCUCCCCACAGAGGAAUGGUGUUCCUUUGAUCUCAACAAGACAAGCCUAUCAGAAAACAUCUUAAUAAUUCAUCUGAGUGAUGUAUACAUAAUGUAACUGGCAUUAGUGGGGGAAGACCAUUUCUUUACAAGAACCAAAAGGGU
rnacentral:lncRNA from 1 species